CUUCGGAGGCGCUUACCACUUUGUGAUUCAUGACUGGGUGAAGUCGUAACAAGGUAACCGUAGGGAACCUGCGGUUGGAUCACCUCCUUACCUUAAAGAA
rnacentral:rRNA from 1 species